UUUUUCGUCGUCUCGACGAUUAUUUUAGCAUAUUGUAUUUCGUUCUUGCGCCUACUGUUGAAAAUCGUUUAAUACAUAAAAUUUAAAUUGGCGUGUUUGUAAAAUUUCAAUACAGAUACAUAUACAAAUAAUAUAGAAAUAAAAUGUAAUAACAAGAAAAUCAAACGUAUGUUAGAGUGACCAAACACAUGUAUAAGAUAUGGAUCGUCAAAAAAAAUGUCUACGAAUUUGGCGUCACGUUUUUUCAGUAACCUGGUGCAAUAUCAAUAAUUUAUAAACACGUCGAAAAGCAUUUGAGCGUUGCGAUAUUUUCAUUGUGCGCAUAAUGUAAUGUAAUACUCAUGUGUACAAAAUCUGCCGCAGCCGAACAUCUGAACACAACAAUAUAAGUUAGUUGAAAAAUGUUGGGCCAAGUAUAAAAUCGACUUGGACAUGGUCAGUCACUAUACGAAUUCGUUGCGCUGGCUGAACAACGUAGCCUUGAACAAUAAUGGAUGUGUGCAUGACAUAAAUAAUGUGUAUAAUACGUCUCGGAGAGCACGCCGGUCAAAUACGCUUCGCUGGAUUAUUUCGGAGACACGGCCGCGGCCAGUAGUUUACGUACGCGGACGUUUUGAAAAAUGCAAAUCACUUCGUACGUUCAUGUAUACGGACCGAAAGUUUAAAUCGAUGCGUUGCGGCGGAUUAACGUCUAUUUUAUUCUGGUAACGGUGACGUAUGGGUAUACUUUUCGAACGUUCUCGUGUCGGGUACUUGUACACACUGCAGCGAAGUAAGCCACCGAUUUUCGAGAAAAUCUUCUCGUACUUACGCGCCGAACAAUAAAUGAGUGGUUUUAUUUACCAGGUUUUUUUUUCUCUCCGU